rnacentral:rRNA from 1 species
AACGAACGCUGGCGGCAGGCUUAACACAUGCAAGUCGAACGGGUGUAGCAAUACAUCAGUGGCAGACGGGUGAGUAACACGUGGGAACCUUCCUAGGGGUACGGAACAACUCAGGGAAACUUGAGCUAAUACCGUAUACGUCCGUGAGGAGAAAGAUUUAUCGCCCUUAGACGGGCCCGCGUCGGAUUAGCUAGUUGGUGGGUAACGGCCUACCAAGGCGACGAUCCGUAGCUGAUCUUAGAGGAUGAUCAGCCACACUGGGACUGAGACACGGCCCAGACUCCUACGGGAGGCAGCAGUGGGGAAUCUUGGACAAUGGGCGCAAGCCUGAUCCAGCCAUGCCGCGUGAGUGAAGAAGGUCUUCGGAUUGUAAAGCUCUUUUGCCAGGGACGAUAAUGACGGUACCUGGAGAAUAAGCCCCGGCAAACUUCGUGCCAGCAGCCGCGGUAAU